CUCUACGCGAGGUUUCUGUCCUCGCUGAGCUGGCCUUAGGACACCUGCGUUAUUCUUUGACAGAUGUACCGCCCCAGUCAAACUCCCCGCGUGGCAGUGUCUCA